GUGUAGCUUAAUGGUAGGGCAUGUGCUUAGAAUGCAAAAGGACCCAAGUUCAAUUCUGGGCAC
rnacentral:tRNA from 1 species